rnacentral:rRNA from 1 species
UACGGAGGGUGCAAGCGUUAUCCGGAUUCACUGGGUUUAAAGGGUGCGUAGGAGGGCAGGUAAGUCAGUGGUGAAAUCUCCGGGCUUAACUCGGAAACUGCCGUUGAUACUAUCUGUCUUGAAUACCGUGGAGGUGAGCGGAAUAUGUCAUGUAGCGGUGAAAUGCUUAGAUAUGACAUAGAACACCAAUUGCGGAGGCAGCUCGCUACACGAAUAUUGACUCUGAGGCACGAAAGCGUGGGGAUCAAACAGG